rnacentral:rRNA from 1 species
AGAGUUUGAUCCUGGCUCAGAACGAACGCUGGCGGCGUGCUUAACACAUGCAAGUCGAACGCGAACGUUUCCUUCGGGAAACUAGUAGAGUGGCGCACGGGUGAGUAACGCGUAAGUAACCUGUCCUCGCAUCUGGGAUAACCCACCGAAAGGUGUGCUAAUACCGGAUACGUCUACGAUAAAAUCAUUUUUUGUAGAGAAAGGUGGCCUCUGAUUCAAGCUACUGUGCAGGGAGGGGCUUGCGUACCAUUAGCUAGUUGGUAGGGUAACGGCCUACCAAGGCUAUGAUGGUUAGCGGGUCUGAGAGGAUGAUCCGCCACACUGGAACUGAAACACGGACCAGACUCCUACGGGAGGCAGCAGUGAGGAAUAUUGCGCAAUGGGGGCAACCCUGACGCAGCGACGCCGCGUGGAUGAUGAAGGCCUUCGGGUUGUAAAAUCCUGUCAGAUGGGAAGAAGUGCAUCAUGUUUAACACAUGUGGUGUUUGACGGUACCAUCAAAGGAAGCACCGGCUAACUCCGUGCCAGCAGCCGCGGUAAUACGGAGGGUGCAAGCGUUGUUCGGAAUUACUGGGCGUAAAGCGCGCGUAGGCGGUAAUUUAAGUCAGAUGUGAAAGUCCAUGGCUCAACCAUGGAAGUGCAUUUGAAACUGGGUUACUUGAGUACUGGAGGGGGUAGUGGAAAUUCCCGGUGUAGAGGUGAAAUUCGUAGAUAUCGGGAGGAAUACCGGUGGCGAAGGCGACUACCUGGCCAGAUACUGACGCUGAGGUGGCGAAAGC